rnacentral:rRNA from 1 species
CUGAACCAGCCAAGUAGCGUGAAGGAUGACUGCCCUAUGGGUUGUAAACUUCUUUUAUACGGGAAUAAAGUGGUCCACGUGUGGCUUUUUGUAUGUACCGUAUGAAUAAGGAUCGGCUAACUCCGUGCCAGCAGCCGCGGUAAUACGGAGGAUCCGAGCGUUAUCCGGAUUUAUUGGGUUUAAAGGGAGCGUAGGUGGACAGUUAAGUCAGUUGUGAAAGUUUGCGG